CAGUCGGUUAACGGCAUUUGGACACGCUGUACACAGGGGCGCUAGAUUGGCGCUACCGAAAGUCACGGCACGCGUCCCAUACGCGUACUACACAAAUAUUGUCGUCGUCAUCGUGUGUUGUGGUCGUAUUCACGAUAUAGUAUAGUUGCACGCGCAACAGGCGUUUCGAGUGCUGAAGCACCGACCGAGGAUUCGAAAGCGACGUGCAAAGGUUUGAUUGCACCAAAUUAGAUUGUCAAAACAAACAAAUCCAGUUAACAACAGCGACACGACCCGUUGUGGCGGCAUCGACCGCGGUCAGAGCACAGCCAUGGCAGCUGCAAUAGCCAUUUCCGGCAACUAUACGGAUGUCAACGACUCGGACAACGUUUACGAGCCCUACUCGAACCGACCGGAAACGUACAUCGUUCCCGUGGUGUUCGCCAUGAUAUUCGUCGUGGGCGUUCUGGGCAACGGCACACUGGUGUUGGUGUUCAUCAGGCACCGGAGCAUGCGCAACGUGCCCAACACGUACAUACUGAGUCUGGCGCUGGGUGACCUGUUGGUCAUCAUCACGUGCGUGCCGUUCACGUCCACCGUGUACACGGUCGAGUCGUGGCCGUACGGCGAGCUCAUAUGCAAGCUCAGCGAGGCCACCAAGGACGUGUCCAUCGGCGUGUCCGUGUUCACGCUGACCGCGCUCAGCGCCGAGAGGUACUGCGCCAUCGUGAACCCCAUCCGACGGCACGUGUCGUCAAAGCCGUUCACCCUGAUGACGGCCGUGGCCAUAUGGAUACUGGCCGUGGUUCUGGCCACGCCGUCGGCCACGUUCUCGCACCUGGCCACCGAGUCGAUACCCAACACGAACGUGACCAUCGAGUACUGUUACCCGUUCCCGAUAGAGCUGGGCAACGACUACGCACGGGCAAUGGUCAUGUUCAAGCUGCUCGCGUACUACGUGGUGCCGCUGUGCGUGAUCGGUUGCUUUUACCUGCUGAUGGCCCACCACCUGAUGGUGUCCACGCGCAACAUGCCCGGCGAGCUGCAGCACGCCGGCCAGUCGGGCCAGAUCCGGGCCCGGAAGAAGGUGGCCAAGAUGGUGCUGUCGUUCGUCGUCAUAUUCAUGGUCAGCUUCCUGCCGUACCACGUGUUCAUGGUGUGGUUCCACUUCAACUCGGACUCGCGCGACGAGUACGACGACUACUGGCACGCGUUCCGCAUCGUCGGCUUCUGCCUGAGCUUCAUCAACUCGUGCGUGAACCCCGUGGCGCUGUACUUCAUCAGCGGCGUGUUCCGCAAACACUUCAACCGGUACCUGUUCUGCUGUUGCCCGUUCGCCCGGUCCGGUCCGGCCACCGUCGAGUCCACCAUCCAGGACAUCAACCUGACGCACGUCAACAGCACGUCGUGCCGGCGUCACAACUCCGUGGUCACCAGCCACGCCACAGCGCUCGGUCACGCCACCUGACGGGCGGCCUGCGGCAGCAAGCCCGUCGUCGUCAACGGCAAACGCCCCGAAGACUGCAACGUCGUCUGACCGCGGCCGAGCCGAUCGAGCGCGUGACACGCGGGGAAUACGGGUAUUAUUCACGGGAACCUGCGGCGGGUGGCGAUAUCACAUCGAGUGAUGCGGUGACGUGCUCAGCUGAUUUUUUUGUUUUUUUUUUUUUUGUUUGUUGGUAUAAAGAGUACUCUUCGUAUUCUUUCGUUUUCCAGCUGCAGGUGCUAUAUAAUUAAUUACAAUAAUAAUCGUAUACACCGUAUAUUGAUCGUGUGCACAAGGGUAAUAAUAUUGUGUAUAAUAUUAAUAUAAUAUAUAAGUUAUUAUAAUAAUACAUUAAUACGCGCAUCUCGACGCGUGAUGGCGGCAAAUAUGCUUUCAUCAUUACUUUAUCACAUAAUUACCUAUAUAUUAUAAUAUGUGUUAUCGUCAUUAACCUAUAUUAUGUAAAUAUUAAAAAAAUCAAAAAUCAAAAAAAAUAUUCAAAACAUCAAAAGUCGAGUUUUUAUUUUGACAGUCAAGUAAUUAUACUGUUUUUUUCUGCGUGAUGUCGAUAAACAAAACAAAUCCAAAGCGUUACCCUCAUCCCCUCCACCCCCGUGAGCACGUCUCUGGAAUGACGAUAAUUCGCGAGUAUACUUAAUUUUUACGAGUAGUAUGUCAUAAUAUGUGGUGUAAAGCCUGACGACUGCUGACAACAGAUUUCUUCUCGUUCGAUAGUCGUGUCAAUCACCACGGUAACCGGUACACGAUGAUGUUGAGAUGUUGAAAACGAUGGUUCGAUUAGAAUUUGUGAAAAGUGUACAUCUUUUUAGUAUAUAAAAAUAUGUAUUUAUACGCCAAAGUAAAUGUCGUGAAAAAACUGCGCUCAGGUCAGUCAAUCACGGUACGUUAUUCUCACCAAACGCAUAUUUUGUGUGACCCCCCCCCCCCCCUUUGAAAAUGCAUCGUUUGUUUUAAUAAUAAUAUUAUGAUCUGUGAUACUAUCGUUAUUCGUUAGUAUACGACGACGACUAUGACAGCGAAACGCCUUCACCAUCACCGCUGUACAACGCAUAUUAUAUACAAAAACGAUUUAUUUUUCAAUGUUAGUUUUUCCUUUCUUUCUCCGCCACAACUUUCUUCCCGAACUCGAAGACACGAGUAAUGUUUGCACAUUACCGCUACUGCCCACACCUACUUCUUCGUAAAUUGUUCCACCGAAUCCAUUACCCUAUAGAUAUAAUACGCUUAUAUCUAUAAUAUAGAUAUAUUCGCAGUAGGUGUACCGACGGCUUUAAGAUAAAUUAUCUCGUUUUCGACAAGUUUCCAACUAGUCAUACUGCGCGUCAUUACUCGGGCGUAUAAAAUACGAUAUAAUAUUAUAUCAGUGAUAUCGGUAUAUAGGUAAGUAUUUCGAUUCAUGUUAAACGACAGAUUUUAUAUUAUAUUUUAUUAUAUUACAUUGGCUUAUAUUUUGUCCGGUUACGUGGCUUCAACUUCUUUCUUUGCACACGUCUCACUUAUAGCUUUGCCUCUACAAAUUGUAUUUCAUGAUAAAUUAUAUUAGGUUGACGCGAUCCCAAUCGGUUUCUUUCAAUACGAUCAAUGUUAUCUAACGUUUUUUCAAAAAAAUGUUUAAAUGAGUAGGUCACUAAAUUUCGAACUGAAUAUCGAUUUCCCAAUUACCGAUAUUAUAUUGAAAUACUUAUUGACAAUUUUUUACUUUGGAAUUUUAUUUAAACCACAUAGAUAAAUAAAAAUAUUAUGUCACUGAAUAUUGAACAAUCAAAAAUUAUACCACAAAAUAUAAAAGUAAGGAGUAAAAACGUAAGAAAUAUAAAAAUAUUUCUCGAAAUAAAAUUACGCUCUUCGUUAAUUAUAAGAAAAUACUUUUUGAAAUGUUAGAAUGUAGAUUAAUAAAAUUAUGUGUCAAUCAAUUCUAAAGAUUUUAAUUUAAUGUAACUAGCAAAGAUCCAUAGGUAAUAUCAUUACCCUCCUAAGAAUGUCUGCAAGUACUAUAGUGUAUUUUAUGCUGAAAUUUUCAUAUUAUGAGUAGUAGGUACUUAGGUACUAUAAUAGCAAAUUCAACAUUUAAUAAUUGAUAAAUAUUUUCAGUACUCAUCAUUUCUAACAAAAUGAUAAUUUUAUAAAUAAAAGUCAGGUAAUAAUUUACUUAUUUAAAAACUUGUAUUCAAGAAUUAAUUUUUGCAUUAUUU